ensembl:antisense Gm38165 predicted gene, 38165
GGCAGGGCCCGGGGCGAGGAGGUUGAGGACAGAGGCGGCGGCGCACCGGCACCUGGCUGAACACUGGCACGCUCACCAUGCUACGGUCCUCCUGCAUGGUGAAGGGGUUCACGCAACCCAAACAUAGGCACCGCGCCUCGGUUAAACAGGAGUAAGAGGUAAGAGAAUUAGACCUGGGAACAUACAGCCUCAGACACCUCUCAUUGCCUGGGAGCUUCUUGGAAAUGAAUUGGAAACAUCCUGAAUGAGCCUACAGUUUUACAAUCUCGCUAACUGACACACAGGCACAGCCAAGUAGGAACAAGCUGUGGCCUGAAGAAUCCUUACUGACUCUGUUGUCACAUUCCAGGGCUACACCCCUCAAUACAGUAGCCGCCAGCUACAAACGCCAACUUAAAUUUCAGUCUAUAGUCCUUUAGUCUCAUUAGCCACGUGGUUCAGUUGUCACAUGGCUACCACAGUGGACUUUAUUAAAGGGCAUUCUGG